AAUAGCCUAACGGCUGAACCAGCAACUUGGAAGAAUGUAUAGCGAUUGCUAAUUGUUUCAUUCCAGAAAGAUAGAUGAAGCAAUCUCGAUUUGAUCGAAUAAAAUUCUGGGUAAAAUUAUGAUAAUGACAUUAUUUACUUAUGAGUCUUGACCAAAUUACGUGCCAGCAGUCGCGGUAAUACGUAGAAGACUAGUGUUAUUCAUCUUUAAUAGGUUUAAAGGGUACCUAGACGGCAGAUUAAGCCUUAGUUGGGACUGGUUUGCUAGAGUUACUUAUGAGGAAGUUUUAAUGUACUAGAGGUGAAGAGAUAAAAUUCUGUUAUACUUUUUUUCUAACGAAAAAUUUCGGCACAGGUAUAGGUGAAAACAUCUUCUUAUGGGAUAACUGACGUUGAGGGACGAAGGCUUUUUAUCGCGAACAGGAUUAGAUACCCUGGUAGUCAAAGCAGAAAAUGAUGAGUGUCAUAGAUUAGAUAAACGUUUAUUCUAUAAAUGAAAGUGUAAGCACUCCACCUCAAGAGUAAUUUGGCAACAUUGGAACUGAAAUCAUUAGACCGUAUCUGAAACCAGUAGUGAAGUAUGUUAUUUAAUUUGAUAAUCCGCAAAAAACCUUACCACAACUUGAAUGUUUAUUUAGUUACUUUUGUAACUAAAUAAACACAAGUGUUGCACGGCUGUCUUCAGUUAAUGUCGUCAGACUUUGGUUAGCUCCAGUAAAUUAACGUAAACCCUUGCUCUAGUUUUAAGUAGAGUAGUUCUCCGCUAUAUUGGAUAAGAUAACAGGGAUCAAGACAAGUCAUCAUGGCCUUAAUGUUGUGGGCUAUAGACGUGCCACGUGAGCCUUUACAAAAGGAUGUGAAAUUGUGAAAUUGAGCUAAUCCCAUAAAACUGGCUAUACAUUUAGCAU
rnacentral:rRNA from 1 species